rnacentral:rRNA from 1 species
AACGAACGCUGGCGGCAGGCUUAACACAUGCAAGUCGAACGCUCGUAGCAAUACGGGAGUGGCGGACGGGUGAGUAACGCGUGGGAACGUGCCCUGAGGUACGGAAUAACUGAGGGAAACUUCAGCUAAUACCGUAUGGGCCCCGAGAGGGGGAAAGAUUUAUCGCCUUGGGAGCGGCCCGCGUCGGAUUAGCUAGUUGGUGGGGUAACGGCCUACCAAGGCUUCGAUCCGUAGCUGGUCUGAGAGGACGAUCAGCCACACUGGGACUGAGACACGGCCCAGACUCCUACGGGAGGCAGCAGUGGGGAAUCUUGCGCAAUGGGGGGCAACCCUGACGCAGCCAUGCCGCGUGAACGAUGAAGGCCUUAGGGUUGUAAAGUUCUUUUACCCGUGACGAUGAUGACGGUAACGGGGGAAUAAGCUCCGGCUAACUUCGUGCCAGCAGCCGCGGUAAU